AGCUUUGUGCAGUGGCAGUAUCGUAGCCAAUAAGGUUUAUCCGAGGUGCGAUUCUUGCUAAUUGAAAACUUUUUUCAAAAUUGUGUAAUAUUCCCAGUGAUUUAAGUUCAGUGAAAAGAAUUCAUGGACUCACGGUUCCUAUUG